rfam:Schistosoma margrebowiei strain Zambia genome assembly, scaffold: SMRZ_scaffold0000388
AUCCAGCUGACGAGUCCCGAAUAGGACGAAACGCGCGUUCUGGAU